rnacentral:rRNA from 1 species
GCAAGUCGAGCGGUAGCACAGAGAGCUUGCUCUCGGGUGACGAGCGGCGGACGGGUGAGUAAUGUCUGGGAAACUGCCUGAUGGAGGGGGAUAACUACUGGAAACGGUAGCUAAUACCGCAUAACGUCGCAAGACCAAAGUGGGGGACCUUCGGGCCUCAUGCCAUCAGAUGUGCCCAGAUGGGAUUAGCUGGUAGGUGGGGUAACGGCUCACCUAGGCGACGAUCCCUAGCUGGUCUGAGAGGAUGACCAGCCACACUGGAACUGAGACACGGUCCAGACUCCUACGGGAGGCAGCAGUGGGGAAUAUUGCACAAUGGGCGCAAGCCUGAUGCAGCCAUGCCGCGUGUGUGAAGAAGGCCUUCGGGUUGUAAAGCACUUUCAGCGGGGAGGAAGGCGGUGAGGUUAAUAACCUCAUCGAUUGACGUUACCCGCAGAAGAAGCACCGGCUAACUCCGUGCCAGCAGCCGCGGUAAUACGGAGGGUGCAAGCGUUAAUCGGAAUUACUGGGCGUAAAGCGCACGCAGGCGGUCUGUCAAGUCGGAUGUGAAAUCCCCGGGCUCAACCUGGGAACUGCAUUCGAAACUGGCAGGCUAGAGUCUUGUAGAGGGGGGUAGAAUUCCAGGUGUAGCGGUGAAAUGCGUAGAGAUCUGGAGGAAUACCGGUGGCGAAGGCGGCCCCCUGGACAAAGACUGACGCUCAGGUGCGAAAGCGUGGGGAGCAAACAGGAUUAGAUACCCUGGUAGUCCACGCUGUAAACGAUGUCGAUUUGGAGGUUGUGCCCUUGAGGCGUGGCUUCCGGAGCUAACGCGUUAAAUCGACCGCCUGGGGAGUACGGCCGCAAGGUUAAAACUCAAAUGAAUUGACGGGGGCCCGCACAAGCGGUGGAGCAUGUGGUUUAAUUCGAUGCAACGCGAAGAACCUUACCUGGUCUUGACAUCCACAGAACUUUCCAGAGAUGGAUUGGUGCCUUCGGGAACUGUGAGACAGGUGCUGCAUGGCUGUCGUCAGCUCGUGUUGUGAAAUGUUGGGUUAAGUCCCGCAACGAGCGCAACCCUUAUCCUUUGUUGCCAGCGGUCCGGCCGGGAACUCAAAGGAGACUGCCAGUGAUAAACUGGAGGAAGGUGGGGAUGACGUCAAGUCAUCAUGGCCCUUACGACCAGGGCUACACACGUGCUACAAUGGCAUAUACAAAGAGAAGCGACCUCGCGAGAGCAAGCGGACCUCAUAAAGUAUGUCGUAGUCCGGAUUGGAGUCUGCAACUCGACUCCAUGAAGUCGGAAUCGCUAGUAAUCGUAGAUCAGAAUGCUACGGUGAAUACGUUCCCGGGCCUUGUACACACCGCCCGUCACACCAUGGGAGUGGGUUGCAAAAGAAGUAGGUAGCUUAACCUUCGGGAGGGCGCUACC